UACAGAGGUGGCAAGCGUUGUUCGGAAUUACUGGGCGUAAAGGGCGCGUAGGCGGUUCGUUAAGUCCUGUGUGAAAUCCCUCGGCUCAACCGGGGAACUGCGUCUGAUACUGGGUGGCUUGAAUUCGGGAGAGGGAUGCGGAAUUCCAGGUGUAGCGGUGAAAUGCGUAGAUAUCUGGAGGAACACCGGUGGCGAAGGCGGCAUCCUGGACCGAGAUUGACGCUGAGGCGCGAAAGCCAGGGGAGCAAACGGG
rnacentral:rRNA from 1 species